rnacentral:rRNA from 1 species
AGAGUUUGAUCCUGGCUCAGAACGAACGCUGGCGGCGUGGAUAAGACAUGCAAGUCGAACGCUGAUUUGUCGGUAGCAAUAUUGGCAAGUCGGAGUGGCGCAAGGGUGCGUAACACGUGGGCAAUCUGCCGUGAAGCCUGGAAUAACUCGCUGAAAGGCGAGCUAAUGCCGGAUGUGAAAGUCGGGAGGCAUCUUUUGAUUUUCAAAGCUGGGGACCGCAAGGCCUGGCACUUCACGAUGAGCCCGCGGCCUAUCAGCUAGUUGGUGAGGUAACGGCUCACCAAGGCUUAGACGGGUAGCUGGUCUGAGAGGACGACCAGCCACACUGGAACUGAGACACGGUCCAGACACCUACGGGUGGCAGCAGUCGAGAAUUUUUCUCAAUGGGCGAAAGCCUGAAGGGGCGACGCCGCGUGGGGGAUGAAUGGCUUCGGCCCGUAAACCCCUGUCAUUUGCGAACAAAUUAUUUUACCUAACACGUAAAGUAUUGAUAGUAGCGGAAGAGGAAGGGACGGCUAACUCUGUGCCAGCAGCCGCGGUAAUACAGAGGUCCCAAGCGUUGUUCGGAUUCACUGGGCGUAAAGGGUGCGUAGGCGGUCGGGUAAGUCUGAUGUGAAAUCCCGCAGCUCAACUGCGGAACUGCAUUGGAUACUAUUCGGCUCGAGGAGUGGAGGGGAGACUGGAAUUCUCGGUGUAGCAGUGAAAUGCGUAGAUAUCGAGAGGAACACCUGUGGCGAAAGGCGAGUCUCUGGACACUUCCUGACGCUGAGGCACGAAAGCCAGGGGAGCAAACGGGAUUAGAUACCCCGGUAGUCCUGGCCCUAAACGGUGCGCAUUUGCUGUGAGCGGAAUCGACCCUGCUCGUGGCGAAGCUAACGCGUUAAAUGCGCGCCUGGAGUACGGCCGCAGGUUAAACUCAAAGAAAUUGACGGGGGCCUGCACAGCGGUGGAGUAUGUGGCUCAAUUCGAUGCACGC